AUUUCACAUUUAGAGCGGGAACAAUUCUGACGUUUUUAUUUAUUACGUCACAAAAUCUGCCAUUUUGUCAGGGAUGUGUAGACUUUUUUAUAUCCAUUGUACAACUCCUCUGUACUCAGUAGUGUGUCUGUACCACAGUUUCUUUACGUGGCACACUGUUUCCACAUACUGUUUAGUAGGCUAGUAUGCAGUGUUGCAUUCUACCUGGGUUUUUGCAGAUAAAUCACACGAGUGCACUUUUAUUCGUGGCUUUGGGCUCAUCCUAAAAGCUUUCAUUUGUGACAGGAAUGAAAAGCAGUGGCUAUUUCGCGAUUUUCUACCUCACUGUCUUUCAUAUCUGGGUCCUGACCCGUCGAGGCAUGGACUCCACUAGAUCCCUGAAGGUGUGCUGUGGUAUCUGGUAGCAAGAUGUUAGCAGCAGAUCCUUUAAGUCAUGUAAGUUGCGAGGUGGGGACUCCAUGGAUCGGACUUGUUCGUCCAGCACAUCCCACAGAUGCUCGAUUGGAUUGAUAUCUAGAUUAAUGGUCUGCAACAAUGCUUAGGUAGGUGGUACGUGUCAAAGUAACAUCCACAUGGAUGGCAGGACCCAAGGAUUCCCAGCAGAACAUUACCAAAAGCAUGACACUGCCUCUGCCGGCUUGCCUUCUUCCCAUAGUGCAUCCUGGUGUCAUGUGUUCCCCAGAUUUAUCAGCCUCUCAAAAUUCAAGAAAUGAGAGCAAGACACAUAUUACAGCAACUGGGGUAAAUGUUACUGCUUGGGAAGGACAAGUGACUCUCACAGCUUCAAGCCAUGAAUCUAUCACACACACUACACCGUUGACAAGAACUCCAUUUCCAACUACAACAUGGAGCCAUAACUCUCCACUUCCUACAUCAGCUCCAUGUUCCCAGGGCCAUGUGGGCAAUUUCCUGGGUGGGAUGACACUGGGCUUAAUCAUAACACUGGCUGUGUGUCUGGGCUACAGGCUAAUCUGCUCUCACCAGCGGGGACGUUAUCAAGCUCUAGAACAACAUGAUGCCAUCAUAUAACAGUGGAGUGUCUGAUCAAAAACACUGGAGACACUGGGGUGUCUGAUCAAAAAGCUGGUUUGUGAUUGGAAAUGUCCUGCUGUACUGUUAUGCCAUUUAGAGGUGCCUUUUGCUGUUUGAUACUGAUAGUGUUUACAGAAAAUACAGAAACAGUUUAGUGGUUUCUGAAUAGAAAUGUCAUCAAAACAGAGAAGAGCACUCCAUACAGACGACAACAGAACUAUACAGUUGAAGAUUGAAAGAAAAAAAAAACAGAUAAUAUUUAUCUAUCCAGGGUGAGUCUGUGUCCAUUGUGCCCAAACUCUGAUGUGGUCUUCUGCUGUUUCUUGUCCAUCUGCCUCAAGUUUCAUUGUGUUGUACACUAUAUAGGCAAAAGUUUUGGGACACCACUCCAAAUCAUUGAACUCAGGUUUUGAUUUUCAGGGAUUGGGUUCGGCCCCUUAGUUCCAGUGAAAGGAACUCUUGGACAAUUUCAUGCUCCCAACUUUGUGGGAACAGUUUGGGGAUGACCCCUUCCUGUUCCAACAUGACUGCACACCAGUGCACAAAUCAAGGUCCAUGAAGACAUGGAUGAGCGAGUUUGGUGUGGAGGAACUUGACUGGGCUGCAGAGUCCUGACCUUAAUCCAAUAGAACACCUUUGGGAUGAAUUACAGCGGAGAAUCCACUCUCCGGGCCAUCCCUAAAUGGUUCCCACAAAGUUGAGUUCCUUUCACUGGAACGAAGGGGCCAAGCCCAACUCCUGAAAAACAACACCUGAAUUCAAUGAUUUGGAGGGGUGUCCCAAAAUUUUUGGAAUGCUCUGAGACAUUUCUCUGCUCAGUGCAAUUGUAGAGUGCUUAUUUGAGAUACUGUAGCUUUCUGCCAGACCAUGGCUGUUCUUCUCGGACACCUCUCAACAACAAGGCCUUUCCACCAACAAAAACAUAUUACAUGGACAUUAACAACCUGUUCCUGCAAGAUUUUAUUGAAUUGCGUUGCUGCAAGAUGUUUGGUUAAGUAGAUAAUUGCAUAAAAUCUGCAGGUGUAUCUAAUAAAGUGGCCACUGAGUGAAUUUAUGGA